rnacentral:rRNA from 1 species
CCUACGGGAGGCAGCAGUGAGGAAUAUUGGUCAAUGGACGAGAGUUUGAACCAGCCAAGUAGCGUGAAGGAUGACUGCCCUAUGGGUUGUAAACUUCUUUUAUAUGGGAAUAAAAUGUUCCACGUGUGGGAUUUUGUAUGUACCCUAUGAAUAAGGAUCGGCUAACUCCGUGCCAGCAGCCGCGGUAAUACGGAGGAUCCGAGCGUUAUCCGGAUUUCUUGGGUUGAAAGGGAGCGUAGGCGGGUUGUUAAGUCAGUUGUGAAAGUUUGCGGCACAACCGUUAAAGUGCAGUUGAAACUGGCAGUCUUGAGUACAGUAGAGGUGGGCGGAAUUCGUGGUGUAGCGGUGAAAUGCUUAGAUAUCACGAAGAACUCCGAUUGCGAAGGCAGCUCACUGGACUGCAACUGACACUGAGGCUCGAAAGUGUGGGUAUCAAACAGGAUUAGAUACCCGGGUAGUC